GUCGGAUCGCAUAUAUGCUGGAUGCUUUAUGCGUAAAAUGGAUUCGUCUGCCCAAGGAUGGGUCUGCGGCCUAUCAGGUAGUAGUGGGUGUAAUGUACCUACUAGCCAACGACGGGUACGGGUUGUGAGAGCAAGAGCCCGGAGAUGGAUUCUGAGACAUGAAUCCAGGCCCUACGGGGCGCAGCAGGCGCGAAAACUUUACAAUGCGGGAAACCGUGAUAAGGGGACACCGAGUGCCAGCAACAUUUGUUGGCUGUCCAGGUGUGUAAACUACACCUGUUAGCAAGGGCCGGGCAAGACCGGUGCCAGCCGCCGCGGUAACACCGGCGGCCCGAGUGGUGAUCGUGAUUAUUGGGUCUAAAGGGUCCGUAGCCGGUUUGGUCAGUCCUCCGGGAAAUCUGACGGCUUAACCGUUAGGCUUUCGGGGGAUACUGCCAGGCUUGGAACCGGGAGAGGUAAGAGGUACUACAGGGGUAGGAGUGAAAUCUUGUAAUCCCUGUGGGACCACCUGUGGCGAAGGCGUCUUACCAGAACGGGUUCGACGGUGAGGGACGAAAGCUGGGGGCACGAACCGGAUUAGAUACCCGGGUAGUCCCAGCCGUAAACGAUGCUCGCUAGGUGUCAGGCAUGGCGCGACCGUGUCUGGUGCC
rnacentral:rRNA from 1 species